GCUGUCGCCAAGCGGUAAGGCACAGGACUUUGACUCCUGCAUGCGUGGGUUCGAAUCCCGCCAGC
rnacentral:tRNA from 1 species